rnacentral:lncRNA from 1 species
GCUGGAAGCUCCCAGGAAUUUUUCUCAGCUAUUUGCUGUAGGAAUCUGGUCGAGCUCUUAGAGGUCAAUCUCACAAUGUUGUGGGAGCUCUCCCUUGACCAAGUCCUUCUGGAGCUCAACUGUCAGAGUGGUCCACGCUGAGUCUCCAGCAAUCUUCGUCAACUGCUGUUCAGCUUUUCCUACCCCUGCACUGGUUUUCUCAGACGUUUCUGCUCCUAGUCUCUGCUCUGGGAGAGUAUCGGGAUGAAGUGAAAACAUUGGGAGCCACCUCUCGCUGCUGCUGCCAUGCUGGACGCAGCCCUCACGCCCACACCCCGCGGGCCACAGCAGAGGAACCCCUUGCCUUCAUCUCUGGCAGGAAGAGCAGACACUGGCUCACCUGGCGGUUAGCGUGGGAAUCGCAGGUCCCGGCCAACCUGACAGGGUAUUUCUCAACCUAUCCCAGCUGAACAUCUAUAUCAGGAGUUGGCAAACUUUUUCUGUGAAGGGCCAGAGAAUAAAUAUUUUAGGCUUUGUGAGCCACACCAUCUCUCUUGCAACUACUCACCUACGCUGUUGAAGUGUGGAAGCAGCCAUAGAUAAAAUAUUGUCCCUGAGCUAACAUCUGUGCCAAUCUUCCUCUAUUUUGUAUGUGGGAUGCUGCCACAGUGUGGCUUGAUGAGUGGUGUGUAGGUUCACACCUGAGAUCCGAACUGUGAACCCUGGGCUGUUGAAGCAGAGCACGCAGGCCAGCCCCCAAAUGACACUUCUACAGGAAUAGAAAAACAGUCCUAAAAUUCAUCUGGAAGCACAAUCAACCCUUAACAGCCAAAGGAGUUUUGAGCAAGAAGAACAUAGUUAGAGGUAUCACAUUCCCUGAUGUCAAAACAUAUUACAAAGCUAAAGUAAUCAAAACAGUAUGGUAUUGGCAUAAAAACAGAUACUUAGACCAAUGGAACAGAAAAGAGAGCCUGGAAAUAAACCCUCACAUACAUGAUCAACUAACACUUGACAAGGGAGCCAAGAAUACUCAAUGGGGAAAAGAUAAUCUGUUUGAUAAAUGAAGUUGGGAAAAUAGGAUAUCCACAUGCAAAAAGAUGAAAUUUUGCAAAAAGAAAAGAAAUCACACCAUAUACAAAAAUCAACUCAAAAUGGAUUAAAGACGUAAACCUUGAAACAAUAAAACUCUUAGAAGGAAACACAGGGAAAAUGCUUCUGACACUGGACUGGACAACGAUUUCUUUGAUAUGACACAGAAAGCACAGGCAACAAACGCAAAAAUAGACAAGUGGGACUAUGUCAAACUAAAAAGCUUCUGCACAGCAGAAGAAACCAUCAACAAAAUGAAAAGGAAACCUGUGGGAUGAGAGAAAAUAUUUGCGGACUAUAUAUCUGAUAAGGGAUUAAUAUCCAAAAUAUAUGAGGAACUUCUAUAAUUCAAUAGCAAAAAACCCUAAUAACUUGAUUGAAAAAUGGGCAAAGGACCUGCACAGAUAUUUCUCCAAAGAAGACAUACAAAUGGCUAACAAGUAUAUGAAAAGGUGCUCAAUGUCAACAGACAAAUGCAAAUCAAAACCACAAAGAGAUAUCACCUCACACCUGUUAGGAUGAUGAUUAUUAAAAAAAAAAAACCCAAAAAACAAAAUCCAAACAACACAAACGACAAGUGUUGG